rnacentral:tRNA from 1 species
GCGGGUCGAAGUCGAGCCGGUCAUCCGGCGCCGGCAACGCGGGUUCGAAUCCUGCCGCCCCGCA